UUUACUUGGGGUUUCAGUGACCUUUAUAUAGUGUCAGUCAUGCAUAGCUCAAAAAUGCUUCAGAUUGAGACAGUGCAAGGUUAUAUUCAGCCAACUGGUUCACUUAUAUCCACAGCACCUGUUUCAAACUCCACAUUAUCAUAUUGCAAGAUCCAACACUGUCCCCAGUCCCAGUACCACUGCCUGAUCACUGAUGGCAAUAUUAUACUUCCCCAUUUAGCUUCCCAAAACACCAUUACUAUUAAUACCAAAAUCACGUGCCUAAUCACAUGACCCCUACUCAGCAAAAAUAUAUCAUCAUUUUCACCAAAAUCUGCAGGUCAGAGUUGCAGCAUGUAACAGUCAAAGUUGAGCACAUGAUCCCACUGAUAUCAGAUCCCAAUUGGACUUUACUAUCUUUUGUAGCAGGACUUCUAACUUUCUAAGUAUAAAUCAACCACUAUACCAUAAUAUCUUCCCUACCACUCCAAUCAUAAGCUUCAAACUUAUCUCAACACAAUCACACUUCACUACUUAGCAGAAUUCAUAGAGCCACAGAAGAGAUCAGAUAUGAAGGCAUGGUCUAGAAUUCUUGCUGCUCUAGUACUUGCAUUUUCUAUGGUAUUAUCAACCUGGCCGAAUGGAGCAACAGCGCAGGCUCAUCCGCUAAAAUCUGCCCCAACAAACCGAGCUUCAUCAUCUUCAGAAUCCCUCAAAGAUUUGCAGGCAAACAGUAGGAGCCCUUUUAAGCUGGCUGGCUCAAGCUUCCGAAAGAUCCCGCCUAGUACUUCGAAUCCCACGCAGAACAAGUACAGUCCUCCAUAAGAUGGCUGAUCAAAGAGAAGUACAGAAGAAAAGUAGCAGAAUCUCGUAGUACCUAGUUUAAUUUCUCAUUCAUUCUUCUCGUCCUCCCUGAAGACGUUACAAGUACUACAAUUUGUAAUGCUCUUACAAUUUUGUUAAGUUGUGAGCUCUGCUUUUGAAUGUAAAUUUCAAAUUUUC